rnacentral:rRNA from 1 species
AUUGAACGCUGGCGGCAGGCUUAACACAUGCAAGUCGAGCGGAGCGAGGGUGCUUGCACCUUAGCUUAGCGGCGGACGGGUGAGUAAUGCUUAGGAAUCUGCCUAUUAGUGGGGGACAACAUUCCGAAAGGAAUGCUAAUACAGCAUACGCCCUCCGGGGGAAAGCAGGGGAUCUUCGGACCUCGCGCUAAUAGAUGAGCCUAAGUCGGAUUAGCUAGUUGGUGGGGUAAAGGCCUAUCAAGGCGACGAUCUGUAGCGGGUCUGAGAGGAUGAUCCGCCACACUGGGACUGAGACACGGCCCAGACUCCUACGGGAGGCAGCAGUGGGGAAUAUUGGACAAUGGGCGGAAGCCUGAUCCAGCCAUGCCGCGUGUGUGUAGAAGGCCUUUUGGUUGUAAAGCACUUUAAGCGAGGAGGAGGCUACUUAGAUUAAUACUCUGGGAUAGUGGACGUUACUCGCAGAAUAAGCACCGGCUAACUCUGUGCCAGCCGCCGCAGUAACAC